AUUGAACGCUGGCGGCAUGCUUUACACAUGCAAGUCGAACGGUAACAGGCCGCAAGGUGCUGACGAGUGGCGAACGGGUGAGUAAUGCAUCGGAACGUGCCCAGUCGUGGGGGAUAACGCAGCGAAAGCUGCGCUAAUACCGCAUACGAUCUAUGGAUGAAAGCGGGGGACCGUAAGGCCUCGCGCGAUUGGAGCGGCCGAUGUCAGAUUAGGUAGUUGGUGGGGUAAAGGCUCACCAAGCCAACGAUCUGUAGCUGGUCUGAGAGGACGACCAGCCACACUGGGACUGAGACACGGCCCAGACUCCUACGGGAGGCAGCAGUGGGGAAUUUUGGACAAUGGGCGCAAGCCUGAUCCAGCAAUGCCGCGUGCAGGAAGAAGGCCUUCGGGUUGUAAACUGCUUUUGUACGGAACGAAACGGUCCUGGUUAAUACCCGGGGCUAAUGACGGUGCCGCAAGAAUAAGCACCGGCUAACUACGUGCCAGCCGCCGCGGUAACAC
rnacentral:rRNA from 1 species